AUUGAACGCUGGCGGCAGGCCUAACACAUGCAAGUCGAGCGGAUGACGGGAGCUUGCUCCUUGAUUCAGCGGCGGACGGGUGAGUAAUGCCUAGGAAUCUGCCUGGUAGUGGGGGACAACGUUUCGAAAGGAACGCUAAUACCGCAUACGUCCUACGGGAGAAAGCAGGGGACCUUCGGGCCUUGCGCUAUCAGAUGAGCCUAGGUCGGAUUAGCUAGUAGGUGAGGUAAUGGCUCACCUAGGCGACGAUCCGUAACUGGUCUGAGGGGAUGAUCAGUAACACUGGAACUGAGACACGGUCCAGACUCCUACGGGAGGCAGCAGUGGGGAAUAUUGGACAAUGGGCGAAGGCCUGAUCCAGCCAUGCCGCGUGUGUGAAGAAGGUCUUCGGAUUGUAAAGCACUUUAAGUUGGGAGGAAGGGUUGUACGUUAAUACCGUGCAAUUUUGACGUUACCGACAGAAUAAGCACCGGCUAACUCUGUGCCAGCCGCCGCAGUAA
rnacentral:rRNA from 1 species